GAGCAUUAGGGUCCUUUGGGGGGCGACCCCUUGGCCUUGGUGGGGACACAACAGUGCCAGGGGGCACAUGAGCCUUUGGUUUUGGUGGCCUACCACGACCUCUCUUUGGUGGGGCACUAGGGUCAGGUUUCAUGUAGUUGUUCUUCAAGAACACAAGCUCACCACUCUCUUUCAUCUUGUGAAGGUGAUGAGUGAGAAGUGCUGUGUGCCCUGCUGGCAACUCACCAUAGGUUGAUUCUAUGUAACUUGCUAUUGCUGAUUUGUUAGAUCCAUUUUGGUCAUUCAGUGCUUCCACUGCUUUCAUUAUCAUCUGAAUAAAACACCAAAACAACACUCAAGGGUUACAAUUAUUUCUUAUAAACAAAGCUGCUAUGUUGUAAAAAACAUCAAAUCAUGUUAAUGGGUUGGUGAGGGUAAAUUUAAAUAGAGGAAAAAAACAUCUUUAUUUUCUGAUUGCAUGAGUUCCUCAGUAACCCUAACUUUACUUGUUAUUUCGUAUAUAAAAAUGGUUACUAUUUCAGGACAGUGAACCAAAAUAAAGACCCUAAGUCAGUGAAAAUGUUUGGAUCACAUAAAAUUUGACAACUUUUUAAAGGAAUAACCUAUAAAGAAUUAAUUUUUGAAGGAAAGUUAAGAUGGGAAUAUUGAUUUGGAUGUGAAUUUACCUCAGGGUAUGGAGGAAGUGAUGGAGGUUUAUUAACCUCUUCAGUGGCCAUUGCAGUUGUAGGUAAUGAAGAAGCUCAAAAAGCUUAAAAAUGCAAACUUUAGCAAAGAUAAGCUUCAAGAUUUUACAGUGAAGUGUUUAAUAUGAGUGAUUCUUGCAAUGAUCUGAGGAUUGAAUUUAAAGGAAGAUAAAUAAAUUAAAAAUUGAAAAGAAUUAAAACUUCUUCCUCUUAUUCCAACCUUCCCCUGUUCUUCUUUAAGACAAAAUGGACGGCUGGGACGCACUCAAUCGAUGUUGAUCCCACGAUUGAGGAGUCAUUUCUCAUUAUCAUUAUUUCUCAUUAUCGUUGCAACCACAUUCAUUCUCAUUAUCGUUGCAACCUCUUCAUAACAAUGGCUAUAGCCACAAAUCUACUCUUACUAAAAUCAUCUUAUCAUUCACCACUCCUAGCAAGUUUUGUCGUUAUCACAACCUUUACAAUAUUAGUAAUUUCACAACAAUUUCAAAAGUGACAACCUACCAAUCUCUAUCAACAUGAAAUAUAAGAUAGAGAUGCCACACCAUAUAGCAUAUACUAGAAUUUUGUCCAUAUCUGUUAGGAAAAAAGAAACAGAAAAUUACACAUACUUCUCAUCUUGGGACAGCACAGGGUGAUGUACCUUAUCCGUACGAGGAAUGUACAUCUUAAGGUACGAUGUUAUGUCCAAUUUCAAGCACAACAUAGUCAAAUUUAUUACUAAUUCAGCUACUCCUUUCUCUAUCUUAGCUACAGUGCUUCAUACAUUGACCAAAUCGUUUGUUUUAGUAAAUAAGGGGUCAACAUUAGAUGGCCUAAUUAAUCACCUAAUACAAACAAAAACAAUUAAUCACAUCAAAGUUUGAAACAACACCCUUUUCCAGAUCAUGAGUUUUGGGUUAGAAUUUGAUACUAGAUCACAACAUUGGGAACUAAAUCAUUAUCAGCUCAAGUCAUUGUCUUGUUUGGUAAGUAGAAUAGAAAACAAACACACAGUCUCACAAGCUAUGCUACAACUACACAAUUUUACAAAGCAACUACAUUGGACAUAAAAUCUUAACCCCACACACACUACUACAAUAGUACUUAUCAUCACACAACAUUAGUUAACAAAACAAACAUCCUAUGAUUCAACACUAACUUCUGUCAAUUGAGGCUUCACCUUAGGAGGCCUACCUCUCGGCCUUCCGCUACUGGCAGGUGCAGCUUCCGCCGAAGGCGGCGGCAACACAGACCGAGCAAUCUUCUUAGGCCUUCCCCUUGGCCUACCACUUCCACUUGAAACCUUAGCACUUGGUGGAGCAUUAGGGUCCUUUGGGGGGCGACCCCUUGGCCUUGGUGGGGACACAACAGUGCCAGGGGGCACAUGAGCCUUUGGUUUUGGUGGCCUACCACGACCUCUCUUUGGUGGGGCACUAGGGUCAGGUUUCAUGUAGUUGUUCUUCAAGAACACAAGCUCACCACUCUCUUUCAUCUUGUGAAGGUGAUGAGUGAGAAGUGCUGUGUGCCCUGCUGGCAACUCACCAUAGGUUGAUUCUAUGUAACUUGCUAUUGCUGAUUUGUUAGAUCCAUUUUGGUCAUUCAGUGCUUCCACUGCUUUCAUUAUCAUCUGAAUAAAACACCAAAACAACACUCAAGGGUUACAAUUAUUUCUUAUAAACAAAGCUGCUAUGUUGUAAAAAACAUCAAAUCAUGUUAAUGGGUUGGUGAGGGUAAAUUUAAAUAGAGGAAAAAAACAUCUUUAUUUUCUGAUUGCAUGAGUUCCUCAGUAACCCUAACUUUACUUGUUAUUUCGUAUAUAAAAAUGGUUACUAUUUCAGGACAGUGAACCAAAAUAAAGACCCUAAGUCAGUGAAAAUGUUUGGAUCACAUAAAAUUUGACAACUUUUUAAAGGAAUAAC
rnacentral:lncRNA from 1 species